rnacentral:rRNA from 1 species
GGGUUGUGAGGUUAAGUGACUAAGCGUACACGGUGGAUGCCUAGGCAGUCAGAGGCGAUGAAGGGCGUGCUAAUCUGCGAAAAGCGUCGGUAAGGUGAUAUGAACCGUUAUAACCGGCGAUACCCGAAUGGGGAAACCCAGUGUGUUUCGACACACUAUCAUGUCAUGAAUACAUAGUGGCAUGAGGCGAACCGGGGGAACUGAAACAUCUAAGUACCCCGAGGAAAAGAAAUCAACCGAGAUUCCCCCAGUAGCGGCGAGCGAACGGGGAGGAGCCCAGAACCUGAAUCGGCUUGUGUGUUAGUGGAAGCGUCUGGAAAGUCGCGCAGCAAAGGGUGAUAGCCCCGUACACUAAAAUGCACAGGUCGUGAGUUCGAUGAGUAGGGCGGGACACGUGACAUCCUGUCUGAAUAUGGGGGGACCAUCCUCCAAGGCUAAAUACUCCUGACUGACCGAUAGUGAACCAGUACCGUGAGGGAAAGGCGAAAAGAACCCCGGCGAGGGGAGUGAAAUAGAACCUGAAACCGUGUACGUACAAGCAGUGGGAGCACCUUCGUGGUGUGACUGCGUACCUUUUGUAUAAUGGGUCAGCGACUUAUAUUUUGUAGCAAGGUUAACCGUAUAGGGGAGCCGUAGGGAAACCGAGUCUUAACUGGGCGAAUAGUUGCAAGGUAUAGACCCGAAACCCGGUGAUCUAGCCAUGGGCAGGUUGAAGGUUGGGUAACACUAACUGGAGGACCGAACCGACUAAUGUUGAAAAAUUAGCGGAUGACUUGUGGCUGGGGGUGAAAGGCCAAUCAAACCGGGAGAUAGCUGGUUCUCCCCGAAAGCUAUUUAGGUAGCGCCUCGUGAACUCAUCUUCGGGGGUAGAGCACUGUUUCGGCUAGGGGGCCAUCCCGGCUUACCAAACCGAUGCAAACUCCGAAUACCGAAGAAUGUUAUCACGGGAGACACACGGCGGGUGCUAACGUCCGUCGUGAAGAGGGAAACAACCCAGACCGCCAGCUAAGGUCCCAAAGUCAUGGUUAAGUGGGAAACGAUGUGGGAAGGCACNNNNNNNNNNNNNNNNNNNNNNNNNNNNNNNNNNNNNNNNNNNNNNNNNNNNNNNNNNNNNNNNNNNNNNNNNNNNNNNNNNNNNNNNNNNNNNNNNNCAGACAGCCAGGAUGUUGGCUUAGAAGCAGCCAUCAUUUAAAGAAAGCGUAAUAGCUCACUGGUCGAGUCGGCCUGCGCGGAAGAUGUAACGGGGCUAAACCAUGCACCGAAGCUGCGGCAGCGACGCUUAGGCGUUGUUGGGUAGGGGAGCGUUCUGUAAGCCGUUGAAGGUGGCCUGUGAGGGUUGCUGGAGGUAUCAGAAGUGCGAAUGCUGACAUAAGUAACGAUAAAGCGGGUGAAAAGCCCGCUCGCCGGAAGACCAAGGGUUCCUGUCCAACGUUAAUCGGGGCAGGGUGAGUCGACCCCUAAGGCGAGGCUGAAAAGCGUAGUCGAUGGGAAACAGGUUAAUAUUCCUGUACUUGGUGUUACUGCGAAGGGGGGACGGAGAAGGCUAGGCUAGCCGGGCGACGGUUGUCCCGGUUUAAGCGUGUAGGGGGUGUGACCUGGUAAAUCCGGUUGCAUACUAACCCUGAGGCGUGAUGACGAUGCACUACGGUGCAGAAGUAGUUGAUGCCCUGCUUCCAGGAAAAUCCUCUAAGCUCCAGGUAACAUUAAAUCGUACCCCAAACCGACACAGGUGGUCAGGUAGAGAAUACCAAGGCGCUUGAGAGAACUCGGGUGAAGGAACUAGGCAAAAUGGUGCCGUAACUUCGGGAGAAGGCACGCUGGCAUGUAGGUGAAGUCCCUUGCGGAUGGAGCUGAAGCCAGUCGAAGAUACCAGCUGGCUGCAACUGUUUAAUAAAAACACAGCACUGUGCAAACACGAAAGUGGACGUAUACGGUGUGACGCCUGCCCGGUGCUGGAAGGUUAAUUGAUGGGGUCAGCCGCAAGGCGAAGCUCUUGAUCGAAGCCCCAGUAAACGGCGGCCGUAACUAUAACGGUCCUAAGGUAGCGAAAUUCCUUGUCGGGUAAGUUCCGACCUGCACGAAUGGCGUAAUGAUGGCCAGGCUGUCUCCACCCGAGACUCAGUGAAAUUGAACUCGCUGUGAAGAUGCAGUGUACCCGCGGCAAGACGGAAAGACCCCGUGAACCUUUACUAUAGCUUGACACUGAACAUUGAGCCUUGAUGUGUAGGAUAGGUGGGAGGCUUUGAAGCGUGGACGCCAGUCUGCGUGGAGCCAUCCUUGAAAUACCACCCUUUAAUGUUUGAUGUUCUAACUCGGCCCCGUGAUCCGGGGUGAGGACAGUGUCUGGUGGGUAGUUUGACUGGGGCGGUCUCCUCCCAAAGAGUAACGGAGGAGCACGAAGGUUAGCUAAUCACGGUCGGACAUCGUGAGGUUAGUGCAAAGGCAUAAGCUAGCUUGACUGCGAGAGUGACGGCUCGAGCAGGUACGAAAGUAGGUCUUAGUGAUCCGGUGGUUCUGAAUGGAAGGGCCAUCGCUCAACGGAUAAAAGGUACUCCGGGGAUAACAGGCUGAUACCGCCCAAGAGUUCAUAUCGACGGCGGUGUUUGGCACCUCGAUGUCGGCUCAUCACAUCCUGGGGCUGAAGUAGGUCCCAAGGGUAUGGCUGUUCGCCAUUUAAAGUGGUACGCGAGCUGGGUUUAGAACGUCGUGAGACAGUUCGGUCCCUAUCUGCCGUGGGCGUUGGAAGAUUGAGAGGGGUUGCUCCUAGUACGAGAGGACCGGAGUGAACGCACCACUGGUGUUCGGGUUGUCAUGCCAAUGGCAUUGCCCGGUAGCUAAGUGCGGAAAAGAUAAGCGCUGAAAGCAUCUAAGCGCGAAACUUGCCUCAAGAUGAGUCUUCCCU